rnacentral:lncRNA from 10 species
GCCAGAGAGGCUAGAACGAAGCAAGCAGAGGAAGGUGGGAUAAGCUGGCUUGCUGAGUUUUCUAACUUUCAUCUUUUUCCCAUGCUGGAUGCUUCCUGCCGUUGGACAUCAGACUCCAGGUUCUUCGGGGACUCUUGGACUUACACCAGCGUUUUGCCGGGGGCUCUGUCGGCUGCACUGUCAGUUUCCCUACUUUUGAGACUUUUGGACUCGGACUGAGCCACUACUGGCUUCCUUCUUUCUCAGCUUGGAGACAGCCUAUCAUGGACUUCGCAUUGUGAUCGUCAUGUAAAAAAAUGAUGGUACUUGACAGUCCAGCUGCCACAAUGCUUUCAAAAAACUGGAUUUCUACUGGAUUCUUCAAGAUUACAAAGUUACAGCCUUAACAAACAGGUUGUGGACAAGGAAGACAAAGAGUGCAUGAACUGCCUGGUGAUGAAAGCCAUGGUGCAGUGGCGGCGGCGACUGCAACAAGACCCAGGCAGGAAAGGCGCGUGUGGUGUUGGGACCAGCAGACGGGCAGCCUCUGAGGCCAUUUUCUAUUUUUGAAUAAAAUGAUACUACUAAUUUUAUCUGCAAAUAAGUUUUGUUCAAAUGACAAUGUAUGCUCAACAUUAAUAUUUUUCUAAUUUUUUAAAUUGAUGAUUGUUGAUAAUUGAUAAUGACAGGCAUUGAACUUCCUGUUUUGCUGAUUUUUAACUUUUACAAAAAUUUUAAUUAAAUAGUAUCAGUCUGGUAUUUUGGUAUUAGAUUUUAAAAAACAAAAUUUCAGUACCAUAAUUGUGCUGUGGUAUCAUAACUAUUACAUUUAUGGAACAUGCUAACUACUCAUCUUCUAAAUCUUUCAAGAUUUACAUCUCAAG